UCCCUAUGUGCCUGCUGGGAAUUGAACCUGGGUCCUCUGGAAGAGAAGCCAGUGCUCUUAACCGUUGGUAAAGCUGAGAAAAAAGAUCACAUUUUCCUUGGUGAGAAAAGCCGCAGUUUCUUCCGGAACACCUUUGAAGAGAGGGGCCCACCGCAGUCCCUGUCCUUGGAGAUGGUGCAUUGUCGGUGCAUGAACCGUGACAAAGGCCUUUGAGGCCGAGAAACGGAUGAAAGGACCGCAUUUGUCUCUAGCAAGCAGCGUCCUCAAAUGCUAGCUGUGCAGGUUAAACAGGAGCCAGAAGUUCCCAGCAGCCUCCCCAGUCCUGUUUGCAGAUGGUUUACGGACGGGUGUUGAAGCCUCAGGACCCUCCCUUCUUCCCUCUGCGGAGCACUCUUGCUGGUGCCCACUCCUUAACUUGUGUUCCUGUUAAGUGCUCGAGGUUGCAAUUCUCUGUUUGCAAUAAUCGGGCAAGCGCCAUCAGGGGAGAUGCUGGAGCCUUAGAAGUGGUCUUAGAAGCGGAGCAGUGUCAUGAUCACUUUGCAAAUUUAAGAACAGCACACAAGGCAAAAAUGAGGAAGCCCCAUGAAGUGCUGACCAAGAGCGACUUCCCUUCCUGUCCUGGGGCUCCGCGUGGGAUGCAGGCGGAGAGGAGGGAAAAUUACGAACCAUGCAGCGUGCUUGGUUGAGAUCCUCAGAGAUCUGCCGGGAGACUUUCCUUUGUCGUGUCUCAGAGGACUCCUGGCCAUAAAGAUGAGCUGUGUGUGGGUUUGGAUGCCGUCCUCCCUGGAGAGCAGACCGCACUGGACUUCGGCAGUCAUGGAGCUGCGGGGAUCCUUACUACACGAUCCCCAAUCCCACUGCACUCCACAGGCUGCGACUCAGAAGCCGCAGUGCCACCACCGAUCUUUUCUUCCACUCUUCCCUCUCAGGGACUCCAAAUGUCCCCUCAUGCCAACACCCAAACUGUUUCUGUGGCUCUCGUCAGGCAGUGCACGCCUUUAAUCCCAGCACUCAGGAGGCAGAGUCAAGCAGAUCUCUGUGAGCUGGAGGUCAGUCUGCUCUACAAAGUGAGGUCCGGGUCAGUGAGGGCUGUGAAGAGAGACCGUGUCUCAAUAAAAAGUGACAACAACCCCCACAUCGAAACACAUGUCUAUUAUAUCAAAAAUUCCCUGCCCCCACCCCACCUGGUGUUGGGGACUGAACCCAAGGCCUCUGAUAGUGAGGUAAGAGCUUUUCCACUAGGCUGUAUCCUCAGCCGGCAUCUGCCAUCCGAAGUCUCACAUGGGUCCCGUGUCUGGCUAGGGUCAGGUCUCACCAUCAGGCCAAAAUAAGCUGUGGUGGUUUGAGUAGACAUGGCCCCCAUAGGCUCCUGUGUUUGAGUGCUUGGCCCCAAGGAGUGGCACCAUUAGGAGAUGUGACCUUGUGGGAAUAGGUGUGGCCUUGUUGGAGGAAGUGUGUCAUUGUGGAGGUGGGCUUUGAGGUCUCAUAUGUUCAAACUACAUCCAGUAUGCCACAGUCUCCUACUCCCGUGGAUCAAGAUGUAGUAGAACUCUCAGCUCCUUCUCCAGCACCAUGUCUGCCUGCACGAUGCCAUGUCCCACCAUGACAAUGAUGGACUAAACCUCUGAAACUGUAAGCCCUAAUUAAAGUUUUUCCUUGUAAGAGUUGCCAUGGUCAUGGUGUCUUUUCACAGCAAUAGAAAUCCUAGCUGAGACAGACGUCGUUCUUGGACAGGAAAAUGGACUGAGCAUAACAUGAGGACAGGGCGGUGGACAUGCUAUUUAAAGA